GUUUAUAUAGUUUAUUAAAAACAUUAUAUUUUCAUUAUAAAAAUAGAAUACUAUCUUAUAAAUA
rnacentral:tRNA from 1 species